rnacentral:rRNA from 1 species
GACGAACGCUGGCGGCGUGCUUAACACAUGCAAGUCGAACGGAGCGCUCGGACAGAAUCCUUCGGGAGGAAGAUCGAGUUAGCUUAGUGGCGGACGGGUGAGUAACGCGUGAGUAACCUGCCUAUCAGAGGGGGAUAACAACUGGAAACGGUUGCUAAUACCGCAUAAGACCCCACGGUCGCAUGGCCGAGAGGUAAAAGGAGCAAUUCACUGAUAGAGGGACUCGCGUCCCAUUAGAUAGUUGGUAUGGGUAACGGCCUACCAAGUCGACGAUGGGUAGCCGGACUGAGAGGUUGAACGGCCACACUGGGACUGAGAUACGGCCCAGACUCCUACGGGAGGCAGCAGUGGGGAAUAUUGGGCAAUGGGCGAAAGCCUGACCCAGCAACGCCGCGUGAAGGAAGAAGGUUUUCGGAUUGUAAACUUCUGUCCUUGGGGAAGAAAAAAAUGACGGUACCCGAGGAGGAAGCCCCGGCUAACUACGUGCCAGCAGCCGCCGGGUAACAC